rnacentral:lncRNA from 1 species
GUGUGCCCGGUAGAUGCAUUUGGCACUAUGAACUGAUUCGGUGGCAGUUACAAAUUAACAUAGGUCUUAAUUCUGGAACUGCAAUUCAUAAAUGGCUUCAUCUGUACUUAACCCAGUUGUUUUUGCAGGUCGGUCUCAACCAAGUGUUGAUUGCAAUAUUCUAAACAAGAUGACCAUACACUGUUAUUUGAUGUAGGUAUACGUAUGAGAUGGCUUAGCUUUAAUUGGUUUGGUUGUUCCAAGUUUU